rnacentral:rRNA from 1 species
UGGGGAAUAUUGGACAAUGGGCGAAAGCCUGAUCCAGCCAUGCCGCGUGUGUGAAGAAGGCCUUUUGGUUGUAAAGCACUUUAAGCGAGGAGGAGGCUACUUAGAUUAAUACUCUAGGAUAGUGGACGUUACUCGCAGAAUAAGCACCGGCUAACUCUGUGCCAGCAGCCGCGGUAAUACAGAGGGUGCGAGCGUUAAUCGGAUUUACUGGGCGUAAAGCGUGCGUAGGCGGCUUCUUAAGUCGGAUGUGAAAUCCCUGAGCUUAACUUAGGAAUUGCAUUCGAUACUGGGAAGCUAGAGUAUGGGAGAGGAUGGUAGAAUUCCAGGUGUAGCGGUGAAAUGCGUAGAGAUCUGGAGGAAUACCGAUGGCGAAGGCAGCCAUCUGGCCUAAUACUGACGCUGAGGUACGAAAGCAUGGGGAGCAAACAGGAUUAGAUACCCCCGUAGUCCCUGAGCGGGCUGGCAAGGCGCAU